CUGUCCCAUUUGGCAAAAAUUCUGAGGACGCUUAAAAUGCAGCCUUCAAAUGCGUCCUCCUUUUCCCCGAAUUCUGAGGAUGCACCGCGACCAUCCUUACUGGCCUUGCCUGCCAUAAGAUUUCCCAAGGUGCUUUGCUCGCUUUUUUUUAGUAGUUUAAGAAGAAGAAAGAAGGCGGAUUUUCAUCAAGACUAAAGGAAAGCAGCAGCAGCGCUGGCAGUAGUGCUGAGUACAGCUAUGCAACAGGGAGCAUACAGAGGAGUUGAUAAAACUCCGUGGGCAAAAUAACCACCUCUUUACCAGGGCCAAAAAUACUGCCACAGUCGGAUGGAGAACAAUCCUGCAAAAAACGGGCCUGGAGGGUGAAAUUGAGCCACAACAGGCCAAGAAAAAGUGGGACAACUUGGAAAAAAAAUACAAAGAAUGCAAAGAUCCAGGGACAGGGCAAGGGGUCAGUGGGAAGCCUACUGUUGCCACCUGGCCAUGGUUUAUCCUCAGGUUCUGUGUUGCUGUUAUUGUUAAAUUAAAUUAUUAAAUUGUUUAUAAAAGUUA